GUGGGGAAUAUUGGACAAUGGGCGAAAGCCUGAUCCAGCCAUGCCGCGUGUGUGAAGAAGGUCUUCGGAUUGUAAAGCACUUUAAGUUGGGAGGAAGGGCAGUAAGUUAAUACCUUGCUGUUUUGACGUUACCGACAGAAUAAGCACCGGCUAACUUCGUGCCAGCAGCCGCGGUAAUACGAAGGGUGCAAGCGUUAAUCGGACUUACUGGGCGUAAAGCGCGCGUAGGUGGUUUUGUAAGUUGGAGGUGAAAUCCCCGGGCUCAACCUGGGAACUGCCUCCAAAACUGCAUGACUAGAGUACGGUAGAGAGUAGUGGAAUUUCCUGUGUAGCGGUGAAAUGCGUAGAUAUAGGAAGGAACACCAGUGGCGAAGGCGACUACCUGGACUGAUACUGACACUGAGGUGCGAAAGCGUGGGGAGCAAACAGGAUUAGAAACCCCUGUAGUCC
rnacentral:rRNA from 1 species